UCCCUGGCUGUCCAGUGGUCAAGACACUGCACUCCCGAUGCAGGGGGCACAGGUUCGAUCCCUGGCUGGGGAA
rnacentral:tRNA from 1 species